AGACCAGUGGUUCGAAAUUCUCCCACAUUAAAAAACUAAAAAAGG
rnacentral:ncRNA from 1 species